AAAAGGAGAAGAGGAAUCAUGCCUUGAUGCAUUGAUCUUUCUUUUUUCUUUAUGCUUCAACAGACCCUCCACUCCAGUCCAGGAAGAGAAAGCCUUAGAAUUGUGUGGGAUAGUCUCCGAAGCACAUAAUCAAAAGCGCUGAAAUUCUGCCUCUGUAUGGACUUAUGAUUCCUGGUGGUUAAGGACCACCCAAAAGAAAAAUUUCUGAAGUUCU
rnacentral:lncRNA from 1 species